rnacentral:rRNA from 1 species
UACGGGGGGAGCAAGCGUUGUUCGGAUUUACUGGGCGUAAAGGGCGCGUAGGCGGCCACCGCAAGUCGACUGUGAAAUCUCCGGGCUUAACCCGGAAAGGUCAGCCGAUACUGCGGGGCUAGAGUGCAGAAGGGGGCAACUGGAAUUCUCGGUGUAGCGGUGAAAUGCGUAGAUAUCGAGAGGAACACCUGCGGCGAAGGCGGGUUGCUGGGCCGACACUGACGCUGAGGCGCGAAAGCUAGGGGAGCGAACGGG